rnacentral:rRNA from 1 species
UACGGAGGGGCUAGCGUUGUUCGGAAUUACUGGGCGUAAAGCGCACGUAGGCGGACUGUUAAGUCAGGGGUGAAAUCCUGGAGCUCAACUCCAGAACUGCCCUUGAUACUGAGGAGCUUGAGUCCGGGAGAGGUGAGUGGAACUCCGAGUGUAGAGGUGAAAUUCGUAGAUAUUCGGAAGAACACCAGUGGCGAAGGCGGCUCACUGGCCCGGUACUGACGCUGAACUGCGAAAGCUGAGGGGAGCGGAAGGGG